ACGUAGGCAGCAAGCGUUGUUCGGAAUUACUGGGCGUAAAGAGUGUGUAGGCGGUGUUCUAAGUUUGUCGUGAAAUCUCCCGGCUUAACUGGGAGGGUGCGGCGAAAACUGGAAUGCUAGAGGAUGGGAGAGGUAAGCGGAAUUCCUGGUGUAGCGGUGAAAUGCGUAGAUAUCAGGAGGAACACCUGUGGUGUAGACAGCUUACUGGACCAUUUCUGACGCUGAGACACGAAAGCGUGGGUAGCAAACAGGA
rnacentral:rRNA from 1 species